UUUGAUCAUGGCUCGGUUGAACGCUGGCGGGAUGCUACACAUGCAAGUCGGAGCAGCAGCACGGACUCGGUCUGGUGGCGAGUGGCGAACGGGUGAGUAAUGUAUCCCGGAACGUGCCUAGUAGCGGGGGAUAACACGCGGCGCGACGCUAAUACCGCAUACGCCCUUCGGGGGAAAGCGGGGGACCUUCAGGCCUCGCACUAUUAGAGCGGCCGAUAUCGGAUUAGCUAGUUGGUGGGGUAACGGCUCACCAAGGCGACGAUCCGUAGCUGGUUUGAGAGGACGACCAGCCACACUGGGACUGAGACACGGCCCAGACUCCUACAGGAGGCAGCAGUGGGGAAUUUUGGACAAUGGGGAAACCCUGAUCCAGCCAUCCCGCGUGUGCGAUGAAGGCCUUCGGGUUGUAAAGCACUUUUUGGCAGGAAAGAAACGGCGCAAGGAUAUUACCCCGUGCAACUGACGGCUUACCACCACAGAAUAAAGCACCGGCUAACUACGUGCCAGCAGCCGCGAUAUGCGGCGUAAGUGCAAGCGUUAAUCGGGUUACAGGCGCUAAAAAGCAUUGCGCAGGCGGUUCGGAAAGAAGAUGUGGAAUCCCAGAGCUUAACUUUGGAACUGCAUUUUUAACUACCGAGCUAGAGUGUCAAGAGGUGGAAUUCCGCGUGUAGCAGUGAAAUGCGUAGAUAUGCGGAGGAACACCGAUGGCGAAGGCAGCCUCUGGGAUAACACUGACAUCGUGCACGAAAGCGUGGGAGCAAACGGGAUUAGAUACCACAGUGAUCACUAAACGAUGUCAACUAGCUGUUGGGGCCUUCGGACCUUGGUAGCGCAGCUAACGCGUGAAGUUGACCGCCUGGGAAACCGGUCGCAAGAUUAAAACUCAAAGGAAUUGACGGGGACCCGCACAAGCGGUGGAUGAUGUGUGGAUUAAUUCGAUGCAACGCGAAAAACCUUACCUACCCUUGACAUGUCUGGAAUCCCGAAGAGAUUUGGGAGUGCUCGCAAAGAGAACCGGAACACAGGUGCUGCAUGGCUGUCGUCAGCUCGUGUCGUGAGAUGUUGGGUUAAGUCCCGCAACAGCGAGCGCAACCCUUGUCAUUAGUUGCUACGAAAGGGCACUCUAAUGAGACUGCCGGUAUUGAAACCGGAGGAAGGUGGGGAUGACGUCGAUUCUCUGGCCCUUAUGGGUAGGGCUUCACACAGCCAUACAAUGGUCGGGACAGAGGGUCGCCAACCCGCGAGGGGAGCCAAUCCCAGAAACCCGAUCGUAGUCCGGAUCGCAGUCUGCAACUCGACUGCGUGAAGUCGGAAUCGCUAGUAAUCGUGGAUCAGCAUGUCGCGGUGAAUACGUUCCCGGGUCUUGUACCUCCGUCACACCAUGGGAGUGGGUUUUACCAGUAGUUAGCCUAACUCAUAAGGAGGCGAUUACCACGGCAGGAUUCAUGACUGGGGUGAAGUCGUAACAAGGUAA
rnacentral:rRNA from 1 species